GACGAACGCUGGCGGCGUGCUUAACACAUGCAAGUCACGGGGGCUCGGGGGCAACUCCGAGCAACCGGCGAACGGGUGCGUAACACGUGAACAACCUGCCCUCGUGUGGGGGAUAGCCGGGCUAACGCCCGGGUAAUACCGCAUACGUUCCUCUGGAGGAGUCUCUGGGGGAGGAAAGCUCCGGCGCACGGGGAGGGGUUCGCGGCCUAUCAGCUUGUUGGCGGGGUAACGGCCCACCAAGGCGACGACGGGUAGCNGGUCUGAGAGGAUGGCCAGCCACAUUGGGACUGAGAGACGGCCCAGACUCCUACGGGAGGCAGCAGUGGGGAAUCUUGCGCAAUGGCCGAAAGGCUGACGCAGCGACGCCGCGUGUGGGA
rnacentral:rRNA from 1 species